rnacentral:rRNA from 1 species
UACGUAGGGUGCGAGCGUUGUCCGGAAUUACUGGGCGUAAAGAGCUCGUAGGUGGUUUGUCGCGUUGUUCGUGAAAACUCACAACUCAAUUGUGGGCGUGCGGGCGAUACGGGCAGACUGGAGUACUGCAGGGGAGACUGGAAUUCCUGGUGUAGCGGUGGAAUGCGUAGAUAUCGGGAGGAACAUCAGUGGCGAAGGCGGCCCUCUGGUCCAGUACUGACACUCAAGUGCGAAAGCGUGGGGAGCAAACAGG